UACGGAGGGUGCGAGCGUUGUCCGGAAUCAUUGGGCGUAAAGGGCGCGUAGGUGGCGGGACAAGCGUGCGGUGAAAGCUCGGGGCUCAACCCCGAGUCGGCCGUGCGAACUGUUUUGCUUGAGCACUGUAGAGGCAGGCGGAAUUCCGGGUGUAGCGGUGGAAUGCGUAGAGAUCCGGAAGAACACCGGUGGCGAAGGCGGCCUGCUGGGCAGUAGCUGACACUGAUGCACGAAAGCUAGGGGAGCAAACAGG
rnacentral:rRNA from 1 species